UCUCCUGCAAGGCCCUUCGUGCCGGGUGCUCCUGGGUGGCCCGCGUCCCCUGGGGGGCCUUUGAUGCCAUCGCCCUGUGAGAAAUUCCAUUUAUCUCUCAAAUACAUUUAAACCUCCAGGACAGCGUACCCCAGCUCCCCUUCCUCGUUGCCCCGAAUUCCGUGCUGUGGAAACAGCAGAGAGACAGCAGAGGCGACUAGAAACCGAAAAGCCACGGUCCAACCAAGUCCCAGAAGCGAGGGCAGACUUUCUAACAGCCACGCACGACACACUUGGUGAGAGUUCUGAACAGCCUAGGGGCUGAGUGGGUACUUUUCUCUUUCCACAGCCACUAGGGCCCUGCUCCGACCUUCGCUCUCGGGGGGAGUUUUACCCGAGAACAGGCUGGCACCCACCUGGAUGCAUGGGAGCAGGAACCUGCUAUUUUGGUGUCAGGAUGGAGCACUUGUGACCCAGCUAUUCGGAGGGAUUAAAGCCUCGGUAAAGGACAGGGGUCUUUGGUUUGGACAGGUAAGGGCAGGGCCCUUGUCAGGAACAAGGAGAGGGAGGAAGGCCAGAAGAGCAGGACGCUGGCGGCAGGGCGGGUGAAGUCCGGGGGGAGGGGGGAGGUGAGUCUGUCUCAGGAGCUGGCCGCCCGCCCGGUCCAACCUCAGCCUCCCCGCACAAAGGAGGCGGGGCUCUGCGUGUCAUCACUCAUCCUCUUUUUUGCAAUGUUGCAAAAAACGAGGUGGUGUAUUUUCCAACCGCUCCUGGAGAAACAGGGUUCCACCCCCACUUUAGAACAUUGGGCCUGGGGGGCUCUCCUUCAUGCCUUACUCCAGGACGAAUACUGAUUUCCUCUUUUUCUUUGAAAUGUUCACUCUGGGCCUGGCUUCCAAGCUCGCUCACUGUUUCCUAAGAUCAGGUGCACCGGGAGGCUGCGGCAGCACCUGGGAUGCUCAGGCAUCCGAGAAGGCGUGACUUCCGUGCAUCUGGCGUGAGGGCCUUUGCCUGUCCUCAGGCCCAGACUGCCCAGAGCUGUGGCCGCCAGUCACAAAGGCUCAGCGAGCACCAGAACGGGGCCAGUGGGACUUCAAUUUUUCAUGAGUUAAAAUGUAAUGGAAGCGGCCGCCCAUGGCUGGAAGGUGAAGAUAAAGGCCUUGCUUCUCAAAGUGUGGUCCCCAGAUGGGCAGCACCAGCCUCCCUGGGAGCCUGUCAGGAAUGCAGAGGCCCAGGCACCGGAACCUCCGUGUGCACUCGGCCCACGUCCCAGGGCUUGGUCGACCCGUCGGCUCCGGGGCCGCCUGGAUCUGCCACACGAGGUGCUGACUAACGCCAGCUCCGGGGGGUCCGGGCAAGCUGAGCUUCUGAGCACGGGACGGAUGCUCGAGAUCCUUCGGUGGCGAAGCUCGUCUCCGCAACAGAAAGCGAGGCUGGCAAAAGUCAUUCUUCAGAGACAGUGCAGGGCAGGAGUCUCUGAGCUGGAAGCUCGAGUUUAGGUCUUUCAGCGAGCGGAAGAGCAUCUUAAGGUGCGUGAUGCCAGCUUGGGGGCAACUCGAAGUCGUUGUUAUUUACAAGAACACGGAACUUCUACUGUCCAUUUAAUUAAGCGUUUCAAGGGAUUAUGAGUGCUUCACUCCCAAACAAUUCCACUGUCACUUGAUUUACUGACUUGGCUCUUUGCAGAAGAGGGUGGCAUCUUCUCAGUACCCAGAACGGUGCCUCCCACACAGGCACUGCUCAACGGGAGCUUCUGGACAGGUGGAUGGACGCGUGAAUUCAGUCACUAAUUGACUCCCCUAGUCAAGCGCUCUGCAGACCCUAAAUCACAAAAAACCGACGCAGGCGUUCCUGCUGCAGCGUGGCUGGCCGACACACAGACCUGCGAUUAAACGCGAGAGAAACACGGCACCGGGGUCCCUGCACGCAGGCGCCGAGGGUGUGCCUGCAGGACGGGGGAGGGUGCCUGCUCUUGGGAGACUUUAGACACUCCACGUGCACAAACUGGGAUCCGUUUGACGUCUGGGAAAUGGCCAAUCGUUUCGUGAACAAUCGAAUGGCCUACCGGCUACGUUACCAUUCAGUUUAGCUUCUCAUUUCGUCCGCUUUUUCUGAAGACGUAGCCAACCACGGCGUGUCACUGGUUGUCAUUAUUAAACCAGGAGGCAAUGCAGCGCCUACUCUGUGCAGUUGGAUCAAAGGACUUAAGGCCCAGGACCGGCGCAGGGAGGAGCCUUAGCCGUCAUCUUCUCUGCGCAGCCCCCUCGACACGAAGCAGUGGCGCCGCAGCCUCUCGCGGCGGGGGCUUUGCACCUGGCCACGGGGCCGGACCCUCCCAACUGUCCUCGGCCAAGUGACCCGAUCGGUUGUUCCUCUACGGCUGAAUAUACAACACGAUAGCGUUUUCACUGAUUUACUUAGAAGUCUCGCUUUUUAUCGCGUUGAGGGAACCGUCCUAAAACAUGAACUCGGUCCCAUCUGAAAUAUGAAGAGGUGAAGGCUAUGCUUUACAUUCAAAAGGCUGGGCGUGUUUUUGAGAUGUUAAUUCACAUACUGGAAAAUUAACCAUUUUAAAGCCUUCGA